CCUACGGGUGACAGCAGUGGGGAAUAUUGCACAAUGGGGGAAACCCUGAUGCAGCGACGUCGCGUGAGUGAAGACGUAUUUCGGUAUGUAAAGCCCUAUCAGCCGGGAAGAAAUAAAGUCCUUCGGACUUUGGACGGUACUUGACUAAGAAGCCCCGUCUAACUACGUGCCAGCAGCCGCGGUAAUACGUAGGGGGCAAGCGUUAUCCGGAUUUACUGGGGGUAAAGGGAGCGUAGACGGCAGCGCAAGUCUGGAGUGAAAUCCCAUGGCUUAACCAUGGAACUGCCUUGGAAACUGUGCAGCGGGAGUGCAGGAGAGGUAAGCGGAAUUCCUAGUGUAGCGGUGAAAUGCGUAGAUAUUAGGAGGAACACCAGUGGCGAAGGCGGCUUACUGGACUGUAACUGACGUUGAGGCUCGAAAGCGUGGGGAGCGAACAGGAUUAGAUACCCUAGUAGUC
rnacentral:rRNA from 1 species